rnacentral:rRNA from 1 species
UACGGGGGGGGCAAGCGUUGUUCGGAAUUACUGGGCGUAAAGGGCUCGUAGGCGGCCAACUAAGUCGGAUGUGAAAUCCCCAGGCUUAACCUGGGAACUGCAUCCGAUACUGGAUGGCUUGAAUCCGGGAGAGGGAUGCAGAAUUCCAGGUGUAGCGGUGAAAUGCGUAGAUAUCUGGAGGAAUACCGGUGGCGAAGGCGGCAUCCUGGACCGGCAUUGACGCUGAGACACGAAAGCGUGGGUAGCAAACAGG